UGGCAGUGCAAAUAGCAAGGUUAACAUGGUUGUUUACGAAAUAAAUACAAACUUCAGUUAGUAUUUCAUCUUGAAAACCAGUUUAAGCACUUUUUAGAUAACCUCUUAUAAUUGAAGUCCUUUUAUAAGCUUGGCCUUUAUAUUGAAUUUUGUCAAAUUCAAGGUCAGGCAGAAAUUCUAACAUUAAUCGGUUCAAAAUUGAGGCCAUUGUCUUCUCAUGAACUAUACUAGCUGCUGCUUGCCUUUCUAUCAUCUUCCCUUUUCUUCUUGUAUCUCAUAUGUAUAGUUUUUUUAAAAAAAUAAUUUCAUUAAGUUGAAUUAGUCACAGUGGAACAGAAGUUCUUGCCUUUUGGUUUAGUGAAUACCUUCUGACUUAUUACACCCACAGUCAAAAGCAGUUCAUUCCGAUUUGAUAAAUGCCAUUGAAAGCAUCUGAAAUUGUUUCAUCCUUUUUCUUUCUUGCCUUUUCAUCUUUUGGUGCAAUCAAAUGAAAUAUCCUCUAGGUUUCGUAAUCGAAGCUGUCUGCUCUGCCCUGGUGUUAAAAAUGUGUGUUUCAAUAAGUAUUCCUGUGUGACGAUUGUAGUUUCAUCAAGGCAGGAACCAGGUGGAUCUUGCCCAUGGUUUAUGUCUGAGGCUUUGGACACUGCCCUAUACAACAUAAGUUUUACUUUGUGUGAAAUACCACGCUGAACAUUGGUGACCUGGAGAUAUAGAAGAAGGUGUGCAGCUAGACUGUGGAACAGC
rnacentral:lncRNA from 12 species